rnacentral:misc_RNA from 1 species
AAGUCGUAACAAGGUCUCCGUUGGUGAACCAGCGGAGGGAUCAUUACCGAGUCACGUGCUCAAACAACCCUUCUGUGGACCUGAAAUAAAACCGUUGCCUCGGCGGGCGGUCCCCCCAACCAAACCCCACGUGGGUGGGUUAGGGGACCAGACAGUCCGGCACGCUUAAGGCGUCCGGCGCCAGCCGCUGGCCCCAAACAAUUAAACUCUAGUAACCUUUACCUUCUGAGUUUUAAUAUUUAAAAAUAAGUCAAAACUUUCAACAACGGAUCUCUUGGCUCUG